UGGAUAGCUCAGUUGGUUAGAGCGCGAUGCUGAUAACACGAAGGUUGCAAGUUUGAUUCCUGGAUGGGACAG